rnacentral:rRNA from 1 species
GGACCCGCCCCCCCUCCAAGGAGGCCCGGGCGCAAAUUCCCCACCCCCCACGGGGGAGGGAGAACAAUAAAAAAAAACGGGUUUUUUGGGUUCUAAAUGGAAGGAGUCCAAUUUAACCUUCUAAGGGAGAACAAUGGAGGCAAUUCUGGCCCAGCAGCCGCGGUAUUCCAGCUCCAAAGCGUAUAUAAAGUUGUGCAGUAAAAAGCUUGUAGUUGAAACUGGGCCUGGCUGCGGGUCCGCCUCACCGCGUGCAUUUGUCCGGCCGGGCCUUCCUUCUGAAGAACCUCAUGCCCUUCACUGGGCGUGCUGGGGAAUCAGGACUUUUACUUUGAAAAAAUUAGAGUGUUCAAAGCAGGCCUUUGCUCGAAUACGUUAGCAUGGAAUAAUAAAAUAGGGCGUGCGUUUCUAUUUUGUUGGUUUCUAGAGACGCCGCAAUGAUUAACAGGAACAGUCGGGGGCAUCAGUAUUCCGUUGUCAGAGGUGAAAUUCUUGGAUUUACGGAAGACUAACUACUGCGAAAGCAUUUGCCAAGGAUGUUUUCAUUAAUCAGUGAACGAAAGUUAGGGGAUCGAAGACGAUCAGAUACCGUCGUAGUCUUAACCGUAAACUAUGCCGACUAGGGAUCGGGCGAUGUUCUUUUUCUGACUCGCUCGGCACCUUACGAGAAAUCAAAGUUUUUGGGUUCUGGGGGGAUUAUGGUCGCAAGGCUGAAACUUAAAGAAAUUGACGGAAGGUCACCACCAGGCGUGGAGCCUGCGGCUUAAUUUGACUCAACACGGGGAAACUCACCAGGUCCAGAUGAAAUAAGGAUUGACAGAUUGAGAGCUCUUUCUUGAUUUUUCAGGUGGUGGUGCAUGGCCGUUCUUAGUUCGUGGGGUGACUUGUCUGCUUAAUUGCGAUAACGAGCGAGACCUUACUCUGCUAAAUAGCCAGGCUAACUUUGGUUGGUCGCCGGCUUCUUAGAGAGACUAUCAACUCAAGUUGAUGGAAGUUUGAGGCAAUAACAGGUCUGUGAUGCCCUUAGAUGUUCUGGGCCGCACGCGCGCUACACUGACAGAGCCAACGAGUUCUUCACCUUGUUCGAAAGAAUUGGGUAAUCUUGUUAAACUCUGUCGUGCUGGGGAUAAAGCAUUGCAAUUAUUGCUUUUCAACGAGGAAUGCCUAGUAAGCGCGUGUCAUCAGCAUGCGUUGAUUACGUCCCUGACCUUUGUACACACCGCCCGUCGCUACUACCGAUUGAAUGGCUCAGUGAGGCCUUCGGACUGGCUCGAGGAGGUUGGCAACGACCACCUCGAGCCGGAAAGUCGUCGGUGCAAGGCACGCUUU